rnacentral:lncRNA from 1 species
AAAGAAGUGGGUGGUGUUGGCUCUGCACAUUGGAGGAAGAAAUGCACAGAGCCAGAGAAGACUUGAGCAGGGCUGGAGGCUGACAGGAAGGAGUUACUGCAGCUGGGAGAGAGGAAUGGGCUUACUGAUGGAGCACCAACCUGCUGGAGGUCAACCGUCAACUGCUGAAUCCAUAACAGUCGGGUUCUCUGUUGCCAGAGAGGUUUUAGCUUUGGAAAGAAAUGGGGCACUGUGUUCUCAGAAACAGCAGAGGGGGCUAAGAAGAAAGAGUGUGUUUUGAGGGGAGAACAGGGAAAUCGAGAGUGAAACUGUCCUUCCCACCAUCUCUUAGAGUGAGAGAGCCAGGUAGGGCUGUUGUCCUUAGACAGUGUAAAAGUUUUGAAAAGGCAGCAGAAAGUCAAAAGAGAUGACCCCAAGGAAAUGAGGAAGGUGCUUGAACACAGAACAUCUCACUUAACUCUUAGCACAAUCCUUAAGAGCCAAAUGUGUGAUCCCCCUCCAGAAAAGACUUGAGUCUUUACAGUUGGAAUUUCCGUGUCGUGAGUGACAGGAUCUUGGUCCAUCACCCAGGCUGGAAUACAGUGGUGCAAUUAUAGUUCACUGCGGCCUCAAAUUCCUGCACUCAACAGAUCCUCCCACCUCAGCCUCGCAACUGGCUGGGACUACAGGGAUGCACCACCACACCUGGCUAAUUUUUAACUCUUUCGUAGGAAUGAGGUCUUGCUGUGUUGCCCAGGCUGGUCUCGAACUCUGGGGGUCAAGAGAUCCUCCCAUCUCGGCCUUCCAAAGUGUUGGGAUUACAGGCACGCACCACCACACCUGGCUACAUGCCUAAUUUAACAUGAGCUAGAGUUAGGUUUGGCCAUCCCUAGUGUUCAGUGGAGUUGUAGAGUUAGUCUCAAAUGCCAGAGUGAAAGUCCUUGCCUAUCACUCCCUCAUGGGGUAACCAUGGUGGAGCUGCCCAAUUUCCUCAUCUCAGAAGUGAAUAUAAUAGCUUCUACCUCAUAGGGUUGUUGUGAGAAUUGCAUGAGGAAACCAUGGAAAGGAAUUCAUAGAGUACUUAGAAAGGCAGUAAGUACAGGGACAGAUUUGGGUUUCAUGGGACUUGAAGACUACACAACUUCGGAAGCCCUCUUUAAUGAAAAGAAGAUAAAUCUUACUUUUGCAAGUUUUAUAUGAAUAUGUGACUAUGUGAACACAUUGCUCAGGUCCUCCCCUCGCCCGCACACAAGGUCUAGAAAAAGGCUUAUUAAAGUGAGACAUCCUGAAGCUUAAGCGUCACCAGCUUCAAGUUCAACCCACCUCUGAAUAAAUGCUUCAAAUAAAU